UACGGGGGGGGCAAGCGUUGUUCGGAAUUACUGGGCGUAAAGGGCUCGUAGGCGGCCAACUAAGUCGGACGUGAAAUCCCCAGGCUCAACCUGGGAACUGCGUCCGAUACUGGAUGGCUUGAAUCCGGGAGAGGGAUGCAGAAUUCCAGGUGUAGCGGUGAAAUGCGUAGAUAUCAGGAAGAACACCCGUGGCGAAAGCGGCUCUCUGGAACGGUACUGACGCUGAGACGCGAAAGCGUGGGGAGCGAACAGG
rnacentral:rRNA from 1 species